rnacentral:rRNA from 1 species
GAUGAACGCUGGCGGCGUGCCUAAUACAUGCAAGUCGAGCGAACAGGCGAGGAGCUUGCUCCUCUGACGUUAGCGGCGGACGGGUGAGUAACACGUGGAUAACCUACCUAUAAGACUGGGAUAACUUCGGGAAACCGGAGCUAAUACCGGAUAAUAUAUUGAACCGCAUGGUUCAAUAGUGAAAGACGGUUUUGCUGUCACUUAUAGAUGGAUCCGCGCCGCAUUAGCUAGUUGGUAAGGUAACGGCUUACCAAGGCGACGAUGCGUAGCCGACCUGAGAGGGGGAUCGGCCACACUGGAACUGAGACACGGUCCAGACUCCUACGGGAGGCAGCAGUAGGGAAUCUUCCGCAAUGGGCGAAAGCCUGACGGAGCAACGCCGCGUGAGUGAUGAAGGUCUUCGGAUCGUAAAACUCUGUUAUUAGGGAAGAACAAAUGUGUAAGUAACUAUGCACGUCUUGACGGUACCUAAUCAGAAAGCCACGGCUAACUACGUG